UACGUAGGGUGCAAGCGUUGUCCGGAAUUAUUGGGCGUAAAGAGCUCGUAGGCGGUCUGUCGCGUCGGCUGUGAAAACUCAGGGCUUAACCCUGAGCUUGCAGUGGGUACGGGCAGACUAGAGUGCGGUAGGGGAGAGUGGAAUUCCUGGUGUAGCGGUGAAAUGCGCAGAUAUCAGGAGGAACACCGGUGGCGAAGGCGGUUCUCUGGGCAUGAUCUGACGCUGAGGAGCGAAAGUGUGGGGAGCAAACAGG
rnacentral:rRNA from 1 species